CAGAUAUUUUUGAAAAGAGCAUUCAGAUGUAAAAUGCUGUAUUGACCCUGGAGCGUGACAUUAAUAGAGUGAGAAACAUGUUGUUGGGCAGAUUCAGUAAAUAUCUUAGAGUUUCUCUCAUGUGCACCAUCUGUGGACCUGCAUCGGAAUCAUCUGGAGUGGUCAUUUCAAGUGCAGCUUCCUGGGACCCAGAAGCAGACUAUGGGGGUGGGGCCCAGGACCCUGCAUUCUGACAAACCCCUCACUCCCACCCAAGGUGAUUCUUAGGAACACUAAAGUUGGGAACCAGUGUGGAGAAAAUAAUGCUAGGUGCAUUCUAGGAUCUAAAGGGUAAAACAUUACACUUGGGUAAAGAGGUUUUGUGUACUUAUUAUAAAACAACUGUAGCCU
ensembl:lncRNA novel transcript